CGCUUGCCUUGCUCAGCCACUUCCUCAGCUUCUCUACAGAGAACUCCAUGGCUCGCGCUCUCCUGAAGCCCUCGCGACGCUUCCUCCUUGUCCCGGGCAGGACGGCAAGCGGCGAGGACCAACGCAGAGCGAGCACUUCGCCGGUCGGGGCCGCUCGUGCGGCUUCUUCCCUCUUCCUCCCGCCCCUUUUUCGGUGUGCCUGACGCGAGGAAGCCGCCCAGCGCCGCACCUUCCGAGGAAGCCGUACAGGCCCGGCGUGCUGUGGCUUGAAGACGCAGCGCCAAGCCUUUCGGUGGCUCGCCGACGCCAAUGUCAAGCCACUGAUCCGGAGGCAGCGCGUUGGCCGGUUCUCCGUCAGGAUGCUUGACGCUGGCGAGUGCUGUUUCUGCUCGGCCAGAACGUGCCCCUGGACCCCCGACUUUGUCUUUGCACGUCUGAAAAUACGUUUAGUCCAUUGUUAGCCUUAAUGUUAGAGCCAUUGAAAGGAUGGAGCGGUGACCAUAUCAAGGCAUAUUCUUUAAGUGGAGAAUCUUUACAAUGAUUGUUGUUGGUUGGCUGAUCUUCCUUCUGGCUUUGCAUCUGAUGAACAGAGGUACAAAAGCAAAGGUGGAACCAGCAAAGAAUGAAGGUGACAAACAUUAACUGGCUUGUCUUGUUGGCAAACACUGCCCAGGCCAGAAUUCCCAUUUAAAGAGGAUGAAGAUGCUCCAGUUCUGAGGAACAAUUUAAAACACCACCACAGAAAAAGGAAAUUCCAGCUGUGCUGAGGAGCUAACACCUGAUGCAGUACUGAAGGCAACAAAACAUACUGUUUCUAGUUUUGGCAGCACAUACAGCAACUACCAGAUAUCGUGUUACAUGUUCAUAACCAACCUAAACUAGACCUUCAGCAUACAUUGCAAUGUUCCAGAUACACAGGGCAAACCUUACUUACAACAGCGUAUCUUUGGUUUCACAGGGAAUCAUGUAUAAUAUUUCAUUGCUGAUGCAAUUUGAUGGACUAGGUUUUUUUUAAAAAAGUCUCCCUUGGGGCAAUAGCAAAAUUCACAAAAUAUAACAGCUAGAAAAUGGCAGAAAAGUUGGUGUUUGCAGUUUAUUUACUUACUGCAUCAAAAUAUUGCCUUUAUCAUGAAGAGAGAUUUCCUUGUCCCUCUCUCACACGUGUGCCUAUUUCCAUCUGUUAAAUGUUGGAGGUAUGAGAUAACCCUUUACAAAAGCAGUAAGAGUGAAGGCACAGAUUCCACAACAUAUCCACAAGAAUACUGCUUUUCCGAAAUGUCAUUGAUGCCUCAAAGGAAUGGGUGGAGGGUGGGGAAGGUGACUAUAAAAUCCUAAUUGCAAAAGCUUGUACAUUUUUCUAAGGAGUCCUAUAUCACAGAAGUAAUCUCUUCAUCUUCCACAACCUAUCCUAACUAACAGGCUGUUGUGAGCAUAAGAAUGAAAUAUAUCUCUUUAGCAUGAAGGUAAUAGAACCUGUUUUUUAAAAGAACCAUUUUUAACAACCAUUUUUGUAAAUUAAAAAAACAAAACAGCAACACUGAAAGUCCCAUUUCCAAAAAAGCAAUGAGUAGAACAAUAUUAUGGCUCUUAUAUAGCAUCUAAGGAUCUACAGGAUUUUCUGGAGGCCCAUCUCUGAUGUUGAUGCUGGGACUCUACACCCAGAAUGUCCUCCAGUUUCCUCCCCUCUGCAGCUGGCAUGGAAAGCAUCAUGUUAGCCAUUUCUACAAGGCUGCAAAAGGAAAAGAGUUUAGGGGCAUUCCAAGUGAUAGAAAGGGGAUGAGGCUGAUGCCACUGAGGUUUGCCUCCUUUCCUCCCCUCUGAAGUGCUGCAGUUAGAAAGCCAUAAUCACCCAUCUGGCUGCUUUGUGGGGUGGGUGCAGCACAGAGGCAACAUGGUCCUCCUGCCCCAUGUCAGAGGGCUGUAAUCCUCUUGAGUGCAGAGGGUUAUGGACCUCUCCAUAGGCUUGCAUGUUAAGGGAGCUCUUGCUCAUCCAAAGCAAAGAAAGCAAGAGAGAAGCAGUGGAGACAAUCCUUACCUCCUUGCUCUUUCCCCUCUGCAUUUUCCCUGGAUGAACCAUUUCCAGCUAUAUAAGGACAGCAUUUCAGAAGGGGAGGGAAGGAUGCUGCCAGCUACAGGUUACCUCAUCUCCUGGCCAUCUUGUGUCUUUUCCUCUCUGCCUCCUCGAAUCACCCCCCCCCCGCCACCUCCAGCCCUGUUCCCUUUUCCAAGGUAGCACUUGUGGCCUCAGAGAGUGACUGGUGCAGUUCUUUUUAUACCAGCUGCAAGAGGGAAAGGGAGGAGAACUGGAAUUCCCAAUUCCUAGUUCAGAGGUUGGAGCACUGUCUAGAAAUCCAAACUAUCCUAUGACCCCCUUGACAAUGUCUGGGUGGCCAUAGGGUCAGAACAAAUUUGAGUUUUUUUAAAAAAAAAUCAUCAAGAUUCAAACAUUUCCAUCUUGAAACUAAUGUGCAAAUGGAAGCAAAAGUGACAAUGAAAAUGGUUUUUGUUUUAAAACUAACACUUGAUCAUAUAUUAUUCAGCCCAGGAACAAUCAAACCAAACUCUUUUAAGUAGAAUACCAGGGAACUAGAGAGGGGUCUUAUGAAGGGAUCAUAACAAGAGCAUGAAUCUAUCAGGUACAUGUCUGCCUAAAAAGAGAAUGAACCUGUCUUCUCUUUCUAAAAGAAGCAACAUCCUAUUGGAAAAGGUGUGACUUAUGGGGAAAAGGUAACCUUGAGGGUUAAGGGUCCACAAAUUUGCCUCACAAUCCCACAUGCUAAAGAUGCUGAAAUGAAAGAAACUCCUAGAUGAAACAAAAAAUUGCAAAACAGAAGGAAAAUGUGAAUAGAAAAAACAAUCAAGACCAAGAUACUUUUGCUUAUUUUUACUCUAGCCAAGAGCAUUUCUGGAUACUCCCAGCGUGGCAGUCACAAAAAAACUGAGUGGGAAAGAAGGAGCCAAGACCCCCAGGAAUGCAAUCAGAAGGUGUGAGCAAGGGUGCCUACCCAAACUCUCCCUUUGCUUUGAAAUGGCUCUCACUGUUCUCUUGAUUUUGGACUACAAUUCCCAUUGCUCCCAGCAAGUUUGACCAGUGGGUAAUCUGGCUAGGAAUGGUGUGGAUUAUAGUCAACACAAAUUGGACCCGACUGGGGAAGGCCAUUUUAGAAUUUCCUGAAUUAAAUUCCAUCCGGGUGGAGAAGCCGUAUUUGGAAUUACAGAGAUGACAAAUAGCAACUUGCUCUAUUUGUGGGUGUACAGUGGAGUGAAGGGUACGUCUUUUCAGUGCCUGCCCCUGUGCAUGUUAAUCCGAGAACUGGGGAUCUAUUAAAGAAAACCCCCCUUGAAUUCCAGGAAAUCCAAAAUUUCUCUGACUCAUGCAUUCACGCUGCAAUCUUGACACAUCUCACUGGGCUGUUUGAACAAAACUACAGGCUACAGUGUAAUCACUGCAAGAUCAUCUUCGUACACAGUAAUUACAUCACACUGUUAAUGCCCGUCUCAUCCAGGCAAUAAAUCUGCACAGACAUGAAUACAGACUAUCCUCCAUAAGUGAUAAAAAGUCUGCUCACAGCUAUUUUUAACGGAGUAUUUUUUAGAAACACAUUGUGGAAUAAUUUUACCAGUCUUUUUUGUUUUUGCUCUUUAAUUUACAAAGCAGCCCUUUGUAUGUUUUUAU